CGGCCGUAACUAUAACGGUCCUAAGGUAGCGAAAUUCCUUGUCGGGUAAGUUCCGACCUGCACGAAUGGCGUAACGAUCUCCACACUGUCUCGGCCAGAGACUCGGUGAAAUUGAAGUCGCGGUGAAAAUGCCGUGUACCCGCAGAAAGACGGAAAGACCCUGUGCACCUUUACUAUAGCUUGACAUUGGGAUUUGAGCCUGCAUGUGUAGCAUAGGUGGGAGGCUGUGAACUCUGUACGCCAGUAUGGAGGGAGCCAUCGUUGAAAUACCACCCUUGUUUGUUCAGGUCCCUAACUCUUCGCCGUGAUCCGGUAAGAGGACAGUGUCUGGUGGGUAGUUUGACUGGGGCGGUCGCCUCCCAAAAUGUAACGGAGGCAUGCAAAGGUUCCCUCAGGCUGAUUGGAAACCAGCCGUCGAGUGCAAACGCAAAAGGGAGCUUGACUGCAAGAGAGACAUCUCGAGCAGGUACGAAAGUAGGUGUUAGUGAUCCGGUGAUCCCGAAUGGAAGGGUCAUCGCUCAUUGGAUAAAAGGUACGCCGGGGAUAACAGGCUGAUCGCAUCCAAGAGUUCACAUCGACGAUGCGGUUUGGCACCUCGAUGUCGGCUCAUCACAUCCUGGGGCUGAAGCAGGUCCCAAGGGUACGGCUGUUCGCCGUUUAAAGUGGUACGCGAGCUGGGUUUAAAACGUCGUGAGACAGUUUGGUCCCUAUCUUCUGUGGGCGUAGGAGAAUUGAAAGGGCCUGUCCCUAGUACGAGAGGACCGGGAUGGACACACCACUGGUGGACCUGUUGUCGUGCCAACGGCACAGCAGGGUAGCUAUGUGUGGAAGGGAUAACCGCUGAAAGCAUCUAAGCGGGAAGCCUGCCUUAAGAUAAGUUCUCCCUGACGCAAGUCCUGAAGGGCCGAGGUAGACGACCUCGUUGAUAGGCUGGAGGUGGAAGCCCUGUGAGGGGUGGAGCUGACCAGUACUAAUAGCCCGUGCGUCUUGUUUCU
rnacentral:rRNA from 1 species